AUUGAACGCUGGCGGCAUGCCUUACACAUGCAAGUCGAACGGUAACGCGGGGCCACCUGGCGACGAGUGGCGAACGAGUGUGUAAUACAUCGGAACGUGCACAGUCAUGGGGGAUAGCCCGGCGAAAGCCGUAUUAAUACCGCAUACGAACAAAGGGCGAACGAGGGGGAUAGCACGACCUCUCGUUAUUGGAGCGGCCGAUGGCAGUUUAGGUAGUUGGGGGGGUAAAGGCCUACCAAGCCGACGAUCUGUAGCGGGUCUGAGAGGACGACCAGCCACACUGGGACUGAGACACGGCCCAGACUCCUACGGUAGGCAGCAGUGGGGAAUUUUGGACAAUGGACGCAAGUCUGAUCCAGCAAUGCCGCGUGCGGGAAGAAGGCCUUCGGGUUGUAAACCGCUUUUGUCAGGGAAGAAAUCUUCUGGGUUAAUACCUCGGGAGGAUGACGGUACCUGAAGAAUAAGCACCGGCUAACUACGUGCCAGCAGCCGCCGUAAAAC
rnacentral:rRNA from 1 species